UUUAUUCGGACAUACCAUUUUGAACAACACAUUUUUCCAACAGAAUGARGAGCGAGUAAAGGCUAUAGCAACUACUUUUCAAAACUUUCUUUUCCUGCAUUUUUAUUUAUUUAUAAUAUGAAAUGCUGUAAUAUUUUGGAGAUAGGAGCUGUUUUAAGUCUGCAGAAAUCCAUUUUGGUUUUAGCAAUAUCUAAACCAGCUGUUAAGUUGUUGGCUGGAAAAUAAAACUUGUUUCUCCAACCUGAGGUCAUUUGCAUGAUUAACCACAGCAGGUAAGAUGUUUAUUGCACAUCUAGAAUUUAUGUUAAAAUGUAUGUUCUAGAUCUCCAGGCUUGUUAGAGGAACUAAAAAAAAUAGUUCUGUUGUGUACUUUCAUUGUUUCACAAACACCCUUGAUCUUUUUAUGGCUUGUAGGUGACACCUGAUGUAACACUUUAAGGGUGUCUUUCAUGGUAUUCUGCAGACAUGCAACACCUUUCCUGUUGUUUUUGCUUCACCUCUGCCUGCUGUCCUCGCGGUAUGACCUCACCUGACCAAAAUGACGGAAAACCAGCAAGUAUUGAGGUGAGAAGACCAGUCCUUUACUAUUUGCAGCAAUGUGUGAAGUAUUUUUUUUUUCUGUUGUCAGUUUUCUGUUUUGAUGUCGUGCUGUGCUGGAUGUUUGUGUGUCGACCRUGUUGCUGCCUCAUCUCAACCUGUUGUGAUCACAGAUUUCCACAUCUGAUGACUAAAACACAGUCUGUGUUUCAUUCUUCUGCCUGCUUCUGGUAGUUUUUAUGUUUAAAUCCAGCUGGUUUCAGACCAGAAACAAACAGUUUCUGUCCCUCUUUUUAUAGAACAARAUUUUACUGUUGUUUGAUUUGAUCUGGUUGUUUUCUUGCAUUUCUAUAGACAUUUCUUUGCCGUUAAGUGGACAAAAGAUGCUCAAGCAGAAACUGAACAAGUUUCUAACGGAAAUGGAAAAACAAGUARGCCACAAAAAGAGGUCCUGUUUCUGUGAAACCUACAGCGUGACUUUGGACGUACAGCAGCACACCAGUGGAGCAUUGUUUGGUCUGCUGCCUCCCUGCAUCUUUUCUUGCUGCCUCAUAGUGAUCAUCAGUUUUUUUGUAAGUUGCUCUUUUUUUAAGUUAAAUUAUUUAUGAAUUCCCCAAGUCUACAUUCAUGGGUUCAAUUCCUCAACUGUGACAAUCCCAGGUGUCUUCAAUCUUGUAAUCAGUUGUCAAAGAAGGCCGUAAAUAUACUGGAAGCGGAUAUAGAAGACGAUCCGACAGAUGUGGAACCAGCGCUGUCCAUGAAGAUGAGGAGUAAGAGAAAAUAGUUAUGAACAUCUUUAUAUAAAAUGUCUUUAAAUAAGCGCUACUUAUUUAUACUGAUUAUUCUUGAAAACGCAUGGUUUAUUGAAAGAUAAUCAGGUGAUGGGCUGCUACACAGACCAUGUAAGUUACAAGUGAUUCUAAUAGUUGAUUUAUAAGUAAUCAAUAACCAAGUGUGAAAUGAAGUAGCUCUGAUAAUAACCACAGGUAACUAGGAAAGAUUGAAGUGUGUUUUCAUUGAAGUAAUUCUGAUGGUUCUGUGUAAAGGAGUACAUUUUACUCAUGAUUAAUGAUAUAAUCCUUUAAUGUAUAAUCACUUGAUGUAUGUAUUUACCUCAUGUAUUUCAUGUAAUCAAAAUGUUUAAAUGUAUGACCUGUGAAAGUGUGUUAGUAAGGGAGAGAAGAUAUAUGUGUAAAAGGCCACAAGGAGCAGUGCGGCUCCUUGUGCUGAAAGAUAAUAUGAACCACAUGUAACAUCUUGUGAAAACUUGUUCUCUGCAUAGCUGUACUAUUGUGUAYAAACAGGUUCUGCAGUAGUGUAAGGGCUAAAAGGAGAGACUUUAAUGUAAAAAUGAAGUCAUGGUAACAAAGCAGAAAGGGGCAGAGGUGAGCCGCCAUGUCAAGCUCCACCAUCGCGCACGUACAACAUAUUGAAAUAUGACUUUUGUCUUGUGCUCAAAAUGAGCAGCAAAAAUUGCUGAAGAGCMAAGGUGUGAAGAGCUGACAAAUCCCAACUGCUGCUCACUAAUUUUGACAGUUUUUCUCAACUUUCCUCUGCUUCAAUUCAAUCAGCCAUGAAUGUAUGAACGAAACACCUUUUUAAUUCAUUUUAUAUUUAUUGAUUUUUAUUUUAGAAAUUUUGCCUAUAGGGACAGAAUAGGAUUUAUUUUAAUCAAGGAUUGUGAUUUUGAUGUAACCCUGUAUAAAAAUGCAAUUUGCUUACUCCUGCUAAAGCUAUUAAUACAAAUUAAAGCAUUAUAAAUUUUUA